UGAUCCUCCUGCUUCAGCCUCCCAAAGUGCUGGGAUUAUACAGUUUCCUCCAAAAUCUGGCUACAACUAAGAACAAAAACUGCUAAACUGGACAACUCAACAUAAAUUUCAAAGGACAAGUCUCAUGCCUGAUGUGUGAACUACAUGCGGAGUUGAAUAUAAUGCCUGCUAGCACAACCAGAGACAUUCAACUGCAAAUCAGGACGAGAAGUUGCCAACUUCAUGCUGUGGAGUUUUUCCCAAGAUGCAUGGAAUGAGACUCCCUAUCGUAGUAAGCUUCCUGAGGCUUCCCUAGAAGCUGACCUGAUGCCAGCACCAUAUUUCCUAUAGAACUUGCAGAAUGAUGAGCCAAUUAGACCUCUUUUCUUCAUAAAUUACCGAGUCUCGGAUAUUUCUUUAUAGCA
rnacentral:lncRNA from 1 species